UUUUUUUUUUUUCCUUUUUUUUUUUUUUUGGGUUUUUAUUUGGAAUCUUUUGGUGUAUUAAGUGGGUAUUAUAUGAGCUGAUUGCCUGAUUUACAGGUUCGAGAGAGGGGAAAGAAAUGAGGGAAAUUGGGAUUUUGUUUUGAUAAAAGUUUAGCAAAUUUCUUGAUUACGUUUUUUUUUUGUUAUUUUCUUGGGUUCUUUAUUUAUUAUUUUUUUUGGUGCAAACCCUAGUUUAUGUGGGCUGUGAGUUGGGGAAUUUUACUGUCAUUCGGUUGCUUAUAUGUUGGAUACGUGGAAUAAAGGGUC
rnacentral:misc_RNA from 1 species